rnacentral:rRNA from 1 species
GACGAACGCUGGCGGCGUGCUUAACACAUGCAAGUCAAGCGGAGCGGCGAACGGGUGAGGAAAGCGUGAGUAACUGCCCCCCUCUCUGGGAGAAGAGUUGGAAACGGCUGCGAAUACCGGAUAGUGGGGGAUGACUCGCGUCCUAUCAGCUUGUUGGUGGGGGAGUGGCGUACCAAGGCGACGACGGGUAGCCGGCCUGAGAGGGCGACCGGCCCCAUUGGGCUGAGAUACGGCCCAAACUGCUACGGGGGGCAGCCGUGGGGGAUAUUGCACAAUGGGGGAAACCCUGAUGCAGCAACGCGCGUGCGGGAUGACUGCCUUCGGGUUGUAAACCGCUUUCAGCCAUGACGCGGUAGUGGCAGAAGAAGCACCGGCUAACUACGUGCCAGCAGCCGCGGUAAUUC